ACGGGAGGCAGCAGUGGGGAAUAUUAGGCAAUGGGGGCAACCCUGACCUAGCAACGCCGCGUGAAGGAAGAAGGCCUUCGGGUUGUAAACUUCUUUUAUGAGGGACGAAGGAAGUGACGGUACCUCAUGAAUAAGCCACGGCUAACUACGUGCCAGCAGCCGCGGUAAUACGUAGGUGGCAAGCGUUGUCCGGAUUUACUGGGUGUAAAGGGCGCGUAGGCGGGACUGCAAGUCAGAUGUGAAAUCCCCGGGCUUAACCCGGGAACUGCAUUUGAAACUGUAGUUCUUGAGUAUCGGAGAGGCAAGCGGAAUUCCUAGUGUAGCGGUGAAAUGCGUAGAUAUUAGGAGGAACACCAGUGGCGAAGGCGGCUUGCUGGACGACAACUGACGCUGAGGCGCGAAAGCGUGGGGAGCAAACAGG
rnacentral:rRNA from 1 species